GAUGAACGCUGGCGGCGUGCCUAAUACAUGCAAGUCGAACGCUGGAAAUCUAGCUUGCUAGAUUGAAGGAGUGGCGAACGGGUGAGUAAUACAUAAGCAACCUACCCACGAAGACUGGGAUAAUCUCUGGAAACGGGGACUAAUACCGGAUAGGUAAUCGGAAGGCAUCUUCUGAUUAUUAAAGGUUAAAAACACUGGUGGAUGGGCUUAUGGCGCAUUAGUUAGUUGGUGAGGUAACGGCCCACCAAGACGAUGAUGCGUAGCCGGCCUGAGAGGGUGAACGGCCACAUUGGGACUGAGACACGGCCCAGACUCCUACGGGAGGCAGCAGUAGGGAAUUUUCGGCAAUGGGGGAAACCCUGACCGAGCAACGCCGCGUGAGUGAUGACGGCCUUCGGGUGUAAAGCUCUGUUGUAAGGGAAGAACGGUAGAUAGAGAAUAUCUAAAUGACGGUACCUUACCAGAAAGCCACGGCUAACUACGUG
rnacentral:rRNA from 1 species